rnacentral:rRNA from 1 species
AACGAACGCUGGCGGCAUGCCUAACACAUGCAAGUCGAACGAGACCUUCGGGUCUAGUGGCGCACGGGUGCGUAACGCGUGGGAACCUGCCCUUAGGUUCGGAAUAACUCCCCGAAAGGGGUGCUAAUACCGGAUGAUGUCUUCGGACCAAAGAUUUAUCGCCUUUGGAUGGGCCCGCGUUGGAUUAGCUAGUUGGUAGGGUAAAAACCUACCAAGGCGACGAUCCAUAGCUGGUCUGAGAGGAUGAUCAGCCACACUGGGACUGAGACACGGCCCAGACUCCUACGGGAGGCAGCAGUGGGGAAUAUUGGACAAUGGGCGAAAGCCUGAUCCAGCAAUGCCGCGUGAGUGAUGAAGGCCUUAGGGUUGUAAAGCUCUUUUACCCGGGAUGAUAAUGACAGUACCGGGAGAAUAAGCUCCGGCUAACUCCGUG